rnacentral:lncRNA from 1 species
AGUUUGAAUGUAGAAAUUUCCCACUCGAACAUGCACAUCUUCCGCCAAACCCACCGGGUAUCGCACAGAGCGAUCGGCUAGAAUCAAAGAGAUCCUUGAUGGCUUGAAAUCGGUAAUGCCUAGACGCUUUGACACAGAAAAAGGCAUCAAGUUAACACCAGCUCCCAAAUCGCAAAGACAUCUCUCAAAUAUGGACUUCCCAAUCCGGCAAGGCAAAACAAAACUCCCUGGAUCAUCGAGCUUCUCAGGAAUAGUGACUGGAAGGAUGGUGCUGGAAGUGCUGACCAUCUCUUUCCCUGCUACCACCUCUAAAGCAUCACUGAGUUGUACCUUGCUUUGUUGUCUCUGAGACUCCUCCAGCUCAGCAUACUCCUUACUCUUAGAGAUCAACAUAACUCCUUCCUCAAUGCUCCUCUUGUUGGACAAGACAUCUUUCAGGUAAUUUCUGUAGGUUGGAACGUGGAGAACCAACUGUAAGAAAGGAAGUCUCACAUACAACUGUUUCAUGAUCUGAUCAAAGCGUGCAUACUCUUUCUGUUUCUGAAGCUGUUUCUCACGGCCUGGAAAUGGAAGCUUAGGAACAUAGGAUGGCGGCUCCACAUAUAAAGGUUCAUCAACCUUUCCAAUCUUGUCCUCUACAGGUGUCUUAACAACAAUAGUUUUAGCUUCCUCCUGUUUGGCAACAUCAAUCUCUCUGGGCUCUUCCUGAAUCAUAAUUGCAUAACAAUGUUCCUUACCCUUGGAUUCUACUUUCCCAGGAUGAGCACCGGUUGGUCGUGUAGAGGCUUUAGAUAUUUGAGCAACCUGACUCUCAAGAGUCUUGACAUGUGAGGAUAGCGUUGUAAACUUUCCAUUGAGAUCAUUGUACAUGCUAUCCACCUUUACAUUGAUCUCAGCAGCAUUCUUCUUCUGACCUUCAAGAAUUUGCUUCAUCAUCAAUUUUAUCUCAUUAUCUCUAGAUGUAGAUGCAUGAGUGGUACUUGCAGGAGGUUGGAAUUGUCCCUGGUAGCUCCCUUUAGUCUGAAAACCGUGACUAGGCUGAAAUUGUUGACCUUGUGACUCUGCCUGAGUCGGAUACACCUGAUCUUGAGGAUUUUCGACAUUGAGUACUCCUGUAAGAAAGGUUAGGAUGGUUCCGGUAAUUCUGAUUAAACCCUCUGUUCUGAUAGUUGCCAUACCCAUUCACGAAAUUCUACUCUGCCUGUAGAUCGUCAGAACCGUCUCCGCUAAACUCUUGAUGCACUGGACCUUUACCCAAAUCCUCGCAGUAGUUGACAACCCGCUGAUCUCUCAUGAGGAGCUGCUCAACCUUAGCUGUCAACUCAACAAUCUGCUUUGAUUCUCCUCCUCCACCUCUGUACGACCUGUCAUAGACAACAUUGUGGUUACUGUUACUGGCUGCCAGAUUCUCAAUAAGCUCUAUAGCUUCCUCCUCAGUCUUGGUCAUAAAAUCCCCAUUACUAGCAGUAUCUAGUGCCAUCAUGUAGUCUUUGUCGACUCCUCUGUAGAAAGUAUUGAUCAAAGUGGCACGUGGAAAGCCGUGGUGGGGACAUUCCCUGUAGGAAUCUUUGAACCGUUCCCAAGCUUCAUGGAACGAUUCUGUACCAUGCUGCUGAAAAGAAGAGAUCUUGUUCCUCAGAAUGGCUGUCCUGGACUGAGUAAAAUACUGUGACAGAAAUGCAGCUUUAUAGUCUUUCCAGCUUCUUAAAUUCUCAGUGUUCAAAGACUUCAACCAGCGAUGGGCUUUGUCAGCUAAGGAGAAUGUGGAAAGUCUGCAUUUGAUGAUAUCAUCAGGUACUCCAUUCAUUCUUGUUGUACUGCAUAUAUCCUCGAAGUUAUCUAAAUGGUAGACUGGAUUCUCUGAGGUGAGACCAUGGAACUGAUUCUGCUUCACCAAAGAUAGCAACCCUAUCUUGAUCUCAAAAUCAUUCCUAUUGAUUGGCAGCUAUUGGUUCCUGUCUCGAAAAUGCACAACAUUAGGAGCAUCAUGAUCUCUCAAAGUCUGUCGAGCAGGCGCGGGCCUAGCAUUUACUGCAGCUAAACGAGCGGCAUUAGCAGCAGCCACACGUUCAACAGCUACACGGGCAGCGGCAGCUUGUUCACCAGCAGCAGGAGCAUUGUUGUUUGCAUGAGGUGGAGGUCCUGAAACACUCCUUAAUGAUCACCUCCAAGUGGGAGUUCAUCCCUAUUCUGAAGAUUUCCUGCAGCAUCAAAUUCAGCCAUUUCAGCUUCUCUCUGCUCGGCUAUCUUCUUCUUUUUCUUAUUCGCUCUUUCAAAUUUUCCGAUAUUCUCUUGGUAAUCCGCUAGAUGUGACGAGCCUUGGCUGCGGGUCAUACACCUGAAAACACCAAAGAGAAAACGAAAACGAAAAUUAGUAACAGAAAAUAAAAAUGCUUUAGACUAAAAGCUAAUCCUAAAUCCUUAGGUAACGCAAUUGGUCCCCGGCAACGGCGCCAACUUGAUUGCUCGAGUAAUUAACUCAAUAAACUUAACCGUUAGGCAGUAUAUUCGAGGUCGAUCCACAAGGACCAAAGAUACUCUAAGGAUUUCCAAGACUCGUUCUUAGCUAAAGCUAAAAGAUUGUUUUGUUUGGGUUUUCAGAAUUAUAAAAUAAAAAUGCAAAUAAAUUAAAUGAUUAAACUUAUGAAUUUAAAGACAUUGGGCCAUAGGGUAUUUCAGAGAUCAAUAAAUAAUGGAAACAUUAGACAAGGAAUUCAACAAUUAAGCGCCGUUCUUGAACAUGAACACAUUUAGACUAAUUCUCUUUCAAGACAUUAAUCACUAAAUUUGACUAUUCGAUUACUAAACUUUCGCAUGUAAUUUCCUAGUCAAAUUCGCAUUAUCAAACAAGUUCAUUAAGUUCACAAUGCGUCCUAACGUCAAAUUUCGUUGGCUAGAAAUACAUUGCUCAAUUCACAUUCUUUCAGGCAUUCUAUCGAACACUUUUGAUGCAUAGAAAAACCUAGACUCUACAACAGGGUGAUCAAUCCUAUUCUAGCAUUAAGAACAUGUGAAUCAAAGAACCUAGAGAAUAAGAACUCCUAAUAUCAAUCAAUCCAUUAAUCCAUUGAAUCUCCUAAUUAGAACCCUAAAACCCAAUUGAGAAACUACUCACACAUAGCAACAGAAACAAGACAAAUAAAUGAAGAAGACAUAAUUGAAUUGCAAUGAAAAUAAGAAAAUAGGGUUUAGAAAUCUUCUCCAAAGUGUCAAAGAGGAUGAAUCUCUAGAAUCCCAAAAAGCUUACAAGAGAGAAGUCUCAAAAGUUGCAGAAAAAGAACGUCAAAAGAAAAUUAGGUCUCUGGGGUUUUUAUACCCAAGUACAAAAAAAGGAAGACAAAACCCGGUUUAGGAAAACCGUCUCGGGACGUCGAGGCUCGGAUCGAUCGAUCCCAUGGGUGGAUCGAUCGAUCCCAUGGGUGGAUCGAUCGAUCCAGAUAUGCUGAAUCAAUUGGUCUUGGACGGAUGAUGCUGGAUCGAUCGAUCCCCCCUGGGAUCGAUCGAUCCCGAAGCUCCUGGAGUCAAGCUCUGCACCUGCUUCAAAUGCUCGCCAGAUUGACCUGUCUUCACUAAUUUGGGUAUAAAUCUUGAAUGCACCGUUAGAUUUCCUUCAAUCCACUUGGAAAAUCAAGCUAACAUCUUCAUCUAGCUUGUGUCAAAAAUUCAGAAAGAUUUAACUGUGGGAAGUCUUCCAUCUGAGGCCAAACAUUUGAUACUUCUAACCGAAACUGCAUCUCCAAAUGUGUGUUUAUAUCCCAAAACAGCUCGUUUUCCUCCGAAGCAACCUAAAACCUGUAAAGACUCGAUAAAAGACUAAAAGACUCUAAAAACACACUUUGACUCUUUAAAAUAUAUGAUCUAGGAAAGAAAACAAAGACUCAAAACCGAUAAAAACACAACAUAUCAAUUGGUUCGAUUUUUUUAGCCUUGAUUCCAGUUUGGUACUUUCGAUUCGGUUAAUUUGCCAACAUCUAACUGGAAGUGACAAAAUAAUUUUUAUUAGUGCUUUUUUGUUGUUGUAUAAUUUAGUUUAGAUCUCAAUACUGGUACAUAAUAUUUGUGUAUAUAAUGAUUUAGAUAAAUAUAGUUAUUUUUGUUAUUAAAUAUUUGUCUUCAGCUCACAUUUUCUUCAAUUCAUCCAAGUCAAUAUUUCCUUGAAAUUGACUUCGAAAGACAAAAUGGAGGUCAUCGUCAAAUAAUAUCGCAUAUACGAGUUGACAUCUAAGGACAACCACAAUUGUGGGAUCUCUUAAUCACUAUUUAAGGGUCCUCCUACCUAUUAAGCAUGGUCAUAAACAUGCUUCUUGCCUUAAUGGAUCAUAAAAAUUAAGUUGUGGAGUCCUUAGCUGUUGAAAGAUGGGAGAGGUUAUCGGGUUUAGAGGAGGGUUUUCUGAAACAAAAAUCAAAGUUGCACUGGUUAGAUGUGGGGGACAAGAACAAUAAGGCAUUUUAUAAUGCUAUAAAGGAAAGAAAUACUCAAAACUCUAUUCAUGAGAUUUUAGACCCUAAUGGCAUUUGUCUUAAGAGUAUGGAGGAAAUAAAAGCAGAAGGGGUUCGGUUUUUCUCGGAACUAUUGACAUAUAAACCGUCGGACUAUGUAGGUAUUGAGGUUGAUGAUCUUCGAGAGCUGCUUCCCUAUCGCUGUCCUCCGGCAAAGCGGGAUCAUCUUCUUGCGGAUGUUACGGUGGAUGAGGUGAGAAAGGUUUUGUUUUCUAUGCCUACAAAUAAAUCGCCGGGACCGGAUGGUUACACAGUGGAGUUCUAUAAGGCAGCUUGGUAUUGGAAGUGAUUUCACAGUUGCAAUACAAUCUUUCUUCAAGUUUGGUUUCUUGCCGAAAGGACUAAACGCGACAAUUCUAGCUCUUAUCCCAAAGACGAUAGAUGCACGGGUGAUGAAAGAUUAUGGACCCAUUUCUUGCUGCAAUGUGGUGUAUAAGACUAUCUCAAAAAUAUUGGCUAAUCGGUUAAAGACCAUUCUCCCCGAUUUCAUUGCUCCGAAUCAGUCAGCGUUUAUUGAGGAUAGACUUCUAAUGGAAAACUUACUACUUGCUACUGAAUUGGUGAGAGAUUAUCACAAGGAAGGUGUGUCUUCUCGUUGUGCGAUGAAGAUAGACAUUUCGAAAGCUUUUGUUUCCGUACAAUGGGAUUUUUUGUUGAAUGUGCUCGCAGCAAUGGACCUACCAGAACAAUUCAUUCACUGGAUUUCUCUAUGUAUAUCAACGGCCUCUUUCUCUGUUCAAAUAAAUGGAGAGCUUGCUGGUUUUUUCAAGAGUGAAAAGGGGUUGAGACAGGGAUGCUCUCUCUCUCCAUAUCUAUUUGUGAUCUGUAUGAAUGUUUUAUCAUCUCUACUUGAUAAGGCUGCGGUGGAAAAAAUAUUUGGUUUUCACCCGAGAUGCAAAAAUAUGAAGCUUACACACUUAUGUUUUGCAGAUGACAUAAUGGUUUUUACGGAUGGUAGAGCAGCCUCUAUGGAAGGAAUUCUCGAUGUUUUCAAGGAUUUUCACAAGAUCUCAUGAUUGAGUAUAAGUCUUGAGAAGUCAACUCUGUUCUUAGCUGGUAUAUCUGCUCAUAACAAAGUUGAGAUUCUAGCCAGAUUUCCUUUCGACUCUUGUGCAUUACCAGUCCGCUAUUUGGGAUUACCUCUGCUAACAAAGCGGAUGACUCUAUCUGAUUGUCUUCCAUUGCUUGAAAAAAUAAGAGGCCGGAUCAGUUCAUGGAAAAACAGGUUUCUAUCCUUUGCGGGAAGAUUACAACUACUACGUUCCGUGAUCGCAAGUCUUACCAACUUCUGGAUUGCUGCAUUUCGAUUACCUUCAGCCUGUGUAAGGGAAAUAGAAAAGAUAUGUGCUGCAUUUUUGUGGUCGGGUCCGUCUCUCAACAUAAAGAAGAUCAAGGUAGCAUGGAGGGAUGUUUGUAAGCCAAGAGAUGAAGGUGGUUUGGGGCUCAAAUCUGUGGUUGAAAUAAAUAAGGUAAGCUGUUUUAAGCUCAUUUGGCGGAUAGUCUCAAAUCCAAAUUCUCUCUGGGUAAAUUGGAUAAAAAGAGAACUCAUUCGAUCAGGUUCAUUCUGGUCUGUCAAAGAAACCACCUCUUUGGGCUCUUGGAUGUGGAAGAAGUUGCUCAAAUACAGAUCGCAGGCCAAGGUUUUUCACUCAAUGGAAAUUAAAAGUGGGUUACAAACAUCCUUUUGGUAUGAUCACUGGUGCUCUCUUGGUCGAUUAUAUGAUAUUCUUGGAGUGCGGGGUUUCAUUGAUUUUGGAGUUUCCUCUAAAGUUACGGUUGCUGCAGUCCUAGCAAAUCACAGAGCUAGGCACCACCGUCUAGAUAUUUUAAAUCAAGUAGAAGCGGAGCUAGAGAGACUUCGAAGCAAGGGACAAUACCUUGAUCCGGAUGUAUCCUUGUGGAGAAGACCAAAUAACAAGCUCAGAUCACGGUUCAUCACUUCUGAAACUUGGAAACAACUCCGAACUGCAGGGCCAAAAAUAAGCUGCGCUAAGAGUGUUUGGUUCCCGGACUCUAUUCUGAAACACUCUUUCCUGCUAUGGCUUGCGGCAAAAAACAGACUAGCCACGGGUGAGUGUAUGGUCUCUUGGAACAGGGGAGUGAAUCCGUCAUGUGUUCUUUGUCAAGCUCCGAUGGAGACACGAGAGCACAUUUUCUUUUCUUGUGUCUUCUCUUCGCGAGUCUAGGAGGAGCUGGCAGGUCGACUUCCUCAACAACGCUACACUACCAGUUUCAUAGAGGUACUGAAUCUUCUAUCCAACUCCACAAUCACAUGCACGGUUGGCUUCAUUCUUCGCCUUCUUUUCCAAGCUACUACCCACUCUAUUUGGAUAGAGCGGAACAAACGAAGGCAUGGCGAAUUACCAAGUACUGCAGAUCAGUUAAUCAAGUUGAUUGAUCGAUUGAUACGCAAUAAAAUCUCAUCUAUCCGGCGACAGGAUCCCCGUAAACACGAAGAUGGCCUUCGUGUAUGGUUUGAGUCCAGAAGCUAACAUUAUUUUCUUUUAUUUCGGAUACAGUUCAAAAACAAGUUUGAAUUAAGGUUGCAUUCAUUGUAAAAACGUUUUUUUGGUUGAAUAAAUUUUACAUUCUUUCAAAAAAAAAAGAAUUAAGUAGUGGAUGUCAUGGUUUUGAAACCAAACGAAGCUCCAUGAGACCUCGAAAACUAGUGGAUUAACAACGCAUUAGUUGAUUUCUAAAAUAAGCUAACAACUGAUCCAAUCUUGCAAGUAUGCAACUCACAACUAAGUCAUCAUAACAUAAAAGUGGAAACUAGUUUGAAGAUCCAAUAUGUAAAAUAAAGAGUUCGUAACUACAAGAUAUACAUUAGCUAUGUAUAUCCCGCAUUAACUGGUUAAAGGAAGCCGAUUUGAAUACUUCUUACUUUCACAAAAUCUGUUUGUCGAGAGCAAGUUUCAACACCAUCAGAUCUUUCAUGCUGCACUCCGGUGACCUUAUUGUUGAUCCGAUUGAUAUGAGCCUUCACGCAAUCUCUCACUUUAAGUCCAUUUUGGCUCCAGAGCUUCUGCAAAGGCCCUCUCUCCCGUCUUCUCAAGAGUGGUUCGAUCAGGUGCUUGAAUCCUUUCAGAUGCUCUCAGUUACAGUCCCAUUCUUUGACUGCUGCUCCAAGCUCCUUGGAGAUCUCAAAGGUAAUUUUCAAGCUAAACCCAAACAAAGCACCUGGUCCUGAUGGGUUGACUUCUGGUUUCUACAAGUCUGCUUGGGGCACGUUGGGUGCUGAGGUUGUUGCCUCAAUUUGCCAUUUCUUCCACACAGCUUUUCUUCCAGCUUCAACAAAUGCUACCAUCCUGACUCUUGUGCCUAAGCGACCUGGAGCCUCAAAAAUUGAAGUCUUCCAACCAAUCUCUUGUCUGAAUACUCUCUACAAAGUGGUCUCAAAGCUUUUAGUGACCAGGAUUAAACCAUUAUUACCGUCUCUUAUUCUCCCAAACCAGACUGCUUUUGUUAAAGACAGGCUUCUACUGGAAAAUACUAUAUUGGCUGCGGAAAUAGUGCAUGGCUACCACAAAGCUGCAGGUCCAAAAAGAAUAGUCAUCAAGAGUGAUAUUGCAAAAGCUUUUGACACUCUCUCCUGGGAAUUCUUAUUUGGCUAUCUACAGGGGCUUGAUAUUCCUGACAUUUACUUAAGAUGGCUCCAAGCUUGUAUCUGUAUAACAAACUUCACUAUUGGUUAUAAUGGAAUGGUUCAUGGUUAUUUCAAAGGUAAAAGAGGGCUUAGACAGGGUGAUCCCCUCUCUCCUUACCUUUUUGUGAUAGCCAUGAACAAUCUCUCUUUGAUGUUGAAUAAGGCAGCUGAGGAGGGGAAGUUCAAGUACCAUCACAACUGUGACAAAGCCAAGCUCACCCAUCUCUGCUUUGCUGAUGACCUUCUUAUCUUCCUUGAUGGUUCUCUUUCUUCGGUGCAGAAUGUCCUUAAUGUUCUUCAUGAAUUUGAGGAGAGGUCGGGUCUUGCUGUUAGCAUUCAAAAGACUUUGUUUUUUGCUGGUGGUCUAACUGAGGGUGAGAUCUCCCAAAUCAAUUCUGCCACUGGACUGACCCUUGGCAGCCUACCGAUGCGCUAUCUUGGGGUCCCUCUGUGUACAAAAAAAUUCACUUUACAAGAAUGCGAACCUCUUCUCCAACAAGUUAAAGGAAAAAUCAACAAUUGGUGUGCUAAAUACUUAUCUUUUGCUGGCAGGUUACUUCUCAUUAAUACAGUUAUUGCAGGAAUUUCCAACUUCUGGUGCUCUACUUUUGUGCUCCCAAAGCUGUGCAUAAAAAAAAUUAACUCUCUUUGUAAUGCUUUUCUAUGGAAAGGAAGCCUAGAAGGACAUUACACUGCUAGAGUUUCUUGGGAUACUGUAAUUAAACCAAAGGAUCAAGGUGGACUAGGUAUUAGAGAUCUUACUGUCUGGAAUCGUGCCUGCUCCAUCAAGCUUAUUUGGCUCCUGUUUUUCCAAUCUGGUUCAGUGUGGGUGGCCUGGUUUAAACAUCAUUUCCUGCGGGGGUCAUUGAAUAAUUUUUGGACUAUGAAGCAAAGACCUACUUACUCAUGGAUGGCCAAUAAGUUAUUGAAAAUCAGAGAGGAUGUGUAUAAGUGGAUUAAGUUAAGAGUUGGUAAUGGUGUUACCUGCAGAUUUUGGUCUGAUAACUGGUCACCUUAUGGAAGGAUUUCGGAGUACUUCGGGUCUGCAAGGAUGUCAAGACUGGGGAUAAGGAAUGAUGCAACUUUGCACCAACUCUACAAUAAUGGGCGUUGGCUCCUUCCUCAUCCUAGAACUGAUCACCAGGUUACUCUUCAGAUUUAUCUCACUACUGUCUCACUCUCUGAUGUUGAUGAUCAUUAUGAAUGGGAAUUGGAUGGCAAAAUUUAUCAAAGAUACUUUACGGGCCUGGUCUACAGAAAUCUUCGAGAGCUUUCGCCUCUGGUUCCAUGGAGAAAGGCCGUCUGGAUUUCUGGUGGUGUCCCGAAACACUGUUUCCUCACCUGGUUACUAGUUUUAAAUCGCUGUCCAACUAGAGAUCGAAUUCUUGGCUGGGGUUUUCAAACGGAUCCGGCUUGUCUUCUCUGCAACACUUCGGAGGAAAGCCGCGAUCACAUUUUCUUCAACUGCGGUUUGUCUUGGUCGAUCUGGUCUUCUAUUGCUAUGUGAUGCAAGCUUCAUCCACUGAGAUCUUGGGAAGCUACUGUAUGUCAGAUGCAGGCUCUUCACGGCUCAAAGGAAUCGAUCAGAUUGAGUCUCCUUGCUUGGCAAUGUACUUUAUAUUUCCUCUGGGGAGAAAGAAACAACCGGCUUCAUCGCCAAAACUUCAGAUCUGCUGAGUCCAUCCUCAAACUGAUUGAUUUUGUUGUUCGUAACAGGAUCUCUUCUUACAAAGACCAGAACCCCGCUCUUUCUUCUGCGAUGCUUCAACUUUGGCUCUCAACUUCAUAACUCUGUUCUUCUAGAUGAUUCACUAUUCCAUUGCCUAGGUUACCCUACGAUCUAGGUUCACCCCUAAGUUCCAAUUGUGUGUGUGUUUCAUAUUUUCUGGGCUGUGCCCUUCUUGUUUGGGCUUCGGCCUUGUAAAAACUCUAAAGUCGGGCUGGGCUUUUGUAUCUUUUUAUUUCCUUAUGCAUUUAAAUAGAAAGCCUUUUUCAAAAAAAACUACAAGAUAUACAUAAAUAUCCAUUGAGUUGUAUAUGGUAAAGAAGAAAUUGAUGGUUUGUACUUGCUAUGCGAUAGUAGUCAUAUAAUCGAGAAUUGUUUCACUACACAUUUUCUAAAUUUGAUAUUAAAAAUAAAACCUCAUUAGUUAUAAAUAUAUAUAUACAACAUAUUACAUAUAGAAAGUAAUAAAAUAAUGGAAUAUUUAAAUGUUUUUUUUCAAUUAUGUCAAUUCUGAUCUUACCCGGAAUUUAUUUGACAUAAUUCGAAAAGAUUUUGUGUUCAUGAAAAAAUUUGUUUUUUUUUUUCACUUCGCAAAGUAAAUUAUAGUCUGAAAUACAACAUAUUUGUAUUAGAAAUUACAAAAUUAGUCAAAUUUAUCGAUAAAUUAAUAUUUUUAUAGCAUCAUUAUCAAAUUGAUGAAUUAAAAUAUGUGAGUGAUAGACAAUAUAAAAAAAUUAAUUUAGUAAUUUUUAUAGUCUAUAACAAAUUAAAAUUUUUCCAAAAUCUUUAUAAUUUUAAAAUUUAUGAAUCUAUGAUCCAAGUAUUUUAUUUUGUAAUAUUUUUAGUUAUUAUCCUGAUAAAAAAUAAAAUAAUGAUUCGAAACGUGUCAUAUUUUUAGUUAUUUUUAGCACACCAUUUUUGAUCACCUUCGCAUCUUUGUCAUCAUCUCUCAGAUAAUAAUAAUAAAUUUUCAGCAUAUACAUUCAUAUAUUCGCAAAAAAACCUUUUAAUAUAUAUAUAUAUAUUUUUUUUAAGUUUUACGCAAAUCUCUUUCUCUCUGCAUCUCCAGAUUUUGGAAUCAUCAUCAUCAAUGUGAUCAAAGCAUCUUCAUCGUUGUAUCGCUUCUUUAGUACUUCUCGACGAGGUUUCGUGAGAUUUCUCCGAAAUCGGUGAUGCCUUUAACGAGGUCAAAGAGUCUGCCGGCGACGGAGAACGGUGGAUCCGAUUCGGGAAGAUCAGUGGCUGGGAUUCUCUAUAAAUGGACUAAUUAUGGAAAAGGAUGGAGAUCUAGAUGGUUCCUCCUCCGCGAUGGAAUCUUAUCGUAUUCCAAAAUCCGAAGACCGGAGAAUGUGAAUCUGUUAUCUCCUUCCGAUGAUGUGAAGUUAAUCGGAGAUAUUUCCACCGAUCGUUUCUCGAGAAUGAAGAGUUGUAGUGGCCGUAGUCGUCGGAAACAUCACAAAACCAUCGGCAUUGUUCAUCUCAAGGUAUAUAGAUACAUUCAUACUUCGAUUUCAAAUGUUGUGGUUGAUUUAUGAAAUUGCAAUAGUUAGAUUUUUUUGUUCUUAUCCUGAGAGAUGAUCUAUUUUCAUGAUUUAUAUGAAUACCUUAUUUACAAUCAUACUUACAUCGGAUAAUUUGGCGCGAAAAGUUCGUACUCAAUAUUCCUCAGCAUUGGCUUAUAUGAAUUAAUCUAGUAUUUUUGAUGACAAAAAAAAAUCACAAGUAGAGUAAAGAACCAGUUGCUGUGAAACAGAGUAAAAUCCUAAAUGUGAUUUUUUCUGACUGAGGAAAGUACUAUUAUUAGCAUCAUCUUCUUCUUCUUCUUCUUCUCCAUUGCUUGUACUUGUGUAGUUUGUCUUUAUGCAUUUCAAUUCUUGUUUGUAUUAUUAUCUUCUGUAUUAUAGUUUAGAGAACCUCUCUGGUUUCUGAAAAGUUUUUGACUAGCUGCUUAUCUGUAGUGGGCCACAACAACAGGUAUUGCAGUAGUUGGGGUCUCAAAGUUCAUUACACAAAAAACAAAUAGCCAAAAUACAAACAAAAUUUUGGCUGGUGCUACCAGACCAGGGUCUCAAUUUUGUUGAACACAUUACAGUCACUAACACAAUUUACAUUUGUUAAAAUUUGGUUUAUUUAGUAGUAAAGCCAAGAAGUGUAGAAAUUUGUCAACUUUGGUCACAUGUAAAAACUCUUUAUCUUUUGAUUUUUUUGUUUGUUCCUUGAUUUUCUUUCCACGCAUGGGCCAGUUCAUCAUUGACCAGUAGGUUUAGUUAUACCUUUUAUCAUUGGUGAAUGGUAGGUGUAGCUAGUCGGUAGGAAAUAAUCAAGUGUGGAUAAAUAAUGGAGUGUGGCUGUGUGGGAGCUGAAGGCCACCUCUUGGGGAAAUUCUAGCCAUAUGUUUUUUUUUUUGUUAACUUGUAAGAGUUAUAUUUGCUUAAUCUAAAUACUCCAAAGCUUAUACAGACAUAAGCUUUGAGUCUAUUUUUUUCUCUGGGUAAUUGCAUUCUUUUGUUUUCCAGCAGGUUUCAUCUUACCGAGAAAGCAAAUCUGAUCAUAGAAAGUUUUAUAUCUUUACUGCAACCAAGACUCUGCAUCUGAGGACUGAUUCUAGAAGUGAUAGAGCAGCAUGGUUACAAGCUUUAGCAUCUACUAGAGGCAUAGUUCCUCUCCAGUCAAUCAGUGGGGAGUCUCCUUCGUAUCACCAAAGGAUUUAUUCAUAUCUACAGAGAGACUAAAGAAACGGUUGCUUGAAGAGGGAAUGAACGAGAGUCUUGUAACAGAGUGUGAACAGAUUGUGGAUUCAGAGUUCUCUGAAGUUCAAGAACAGAUUAAACUUCUCCAUGAAGAACGGACAAAGUUGCUUGAUGUAUUGAGGCAGCUAGAGGUAAAGCUAAAUUCUUGCUUUUCUUCUGUGAUCGUUUUUGUUUUAGUGUGGUCUUGCCCAUUGUUUCGUUUCUUAUGAUGACUUAGUAUUCCACUGGCUUUACGUUACAGUAGCAUUGGUAACACCUGAGCCUAUGCACAAAGGCAUGUUAUGAUUGUUGUGAACCUUGCGAAAGAUCCCUUGCCGCUUUUUAUAAUUUGUUAAAGAUGAUUUUGUUUCACAUGUAUUCAGCUAUAUCCUUGUUGGCUAUUCUACAGUGAGAGUUUCUUUGUGUACAGAUGGCCAACCUUGAAGCUGAAACCUCAGGGAUCCAUGACAAUGUCUACCAUUUAAGAAAUCAUAAGUAUUCCAGCUUAGGACGUGGAAAAUAUAGUGGUACACAAAAUUUAUGUCGCUUAAUUGUUCUCCUAUUCACUGCAUCUCUGUCUCUUUCUCUGUUUCAGUUUUGCCAUUAAAUAUUCAUGAAGCAAGCUGCCUAGGAUCUCGUUAGUGCAGAGAAGAGCAAUAAUUUCUUAUACGAUAUUCUACUAGCUUUUUUCUUAAUGUUCCUUCUUAUGCUUCUUUUACAUAGCUUCAGUGGACUUGCAUAGAGCUUCCUGUGUUGUUUUGCUUGACAAUAUUUAGUUUCUAGAAUGCAGUACUAGUGCUUCAUCUGAUGAUAAGCAAGAGUUUGAGGAUAUCUCUGAGGAAGAUGAGGCUUCCUUCCAUGACACAAAGGAGUCAUUUAGUGAACCUGAUGUUGGUUCUGUGUACACACAUUUCAAGAGACGAACAAAGCUUCCUGAUCCAGCAGAGAAAGAGAGAGGUGUCAGUCUCUGGUCUAUGAUCAAAGACAAUGUUGGAAAGGAUCUCACACGAGUUUGUCUUCCUGUUUAUUUCAAUGAACCAAUAUCUUCCCUCCAAAAGUGUUUUGAAGACUUGGAGUACUCUUAUCUCUUGGACCAAGCAUAUGAAUACGGAAAAUCCGUAAGUGAUUUAAAAACUUAUUGUUAUAUGUAAUUUUCAUCCAUCUGGAAAUGCAAACGUUUUCUCUACUCUAUACUUAUGUUUACUUCCUUUACUAAAGAUUUUGAAUACGUAGCUUCCAUGAUAUCUGGUCUAUACUUAUGUUUUUAUCUUGAAUUGACCUCUCAGCUUCUUGUAUUAACAGAGUUUUUCAUCAUCAGGGGAACAGUCUCCUUAGAGCCCUGAAUGUCGCUGCUUUUGCGGUCUCUGGUUAUGCUUCCACCGAAGGACGACACUGUAAACCUUUCAACCCUUUACUUGGAGAAACUUAUGAAGCUGACUUUCCUGAAAAGGGAAUUCGUUUCUUCUCUGAGAAGGUAAUAUCAUACAUGUUUAACUAAAGUUAUAAGAUGAACAUAAAUGUCAGUUUUCUGAGACUGAUAAAUGGUCAAUAAACAAAAUCGGUGAUUCAUGCAGAAGCUCUCUGAUUCAGGAGCAGCUCUGUAGUACUCUACACAUGUUUAUAUGCAUGUAAUUGACACUCAGCUUCACACGUAUCCGGAUUUUAAAAAGUGAAACAUAGGGAGAAAAGAAAAUGUGAGAAUCUUUUCUUAAGAAUUUUGGCAUAUAAUUCGUUGGGGUAUUGUACUCUCAUAAUAGGUUAGCCACCAUCCAACAGUUAUCGCCUGCCAUUGUGAAGGUAAAGGGUGGAAGUUCUGGGGUGACACAAAUCUCAGGUCGAAGUUUUGGGGGAGAUCGAUCCAACUUGAACCCGUUGGAAUCUUGACUCUCGAGUUUGAUGAUGGAGAAAUUUUCCAGUGGAGCAAAGUAUGUAUAAGACAAACUACAAAACUCCUGUCCUUUUCCACUUUUUAUUUCGUGUCCCUGAGACUGAUCACUCGACGCUUAUACGUUAUUUGUGUUUUAGGUAACAACAACGAUAUACAAUAUCCUACUUGGUAAACUGUACUGCGAUCACCAUGGGAUAAUGCAAAUCCGUGGAAAUUGCCAAUAUUCUUGUACUUUAAAGUUCAAGGAGCAAUCGAUUCUUGAUAGAAAUCCCCACCAGGUGAUUUCACAGAGAUACAUACUGUAAACAGUUUUCGAUCUAUUUGUCUUGCAUACCUGAAAUAACUUGAUGGUUAAAUAUAUAUAGGUUAAUGGUUUUGUAGAAGAUGUAACUGGAAAAAAGGCCGCGACCGUAUUUGGUAAAUGGAAUGAUAGCCUUUACUAUGUUGCUGGUGAUGGACUCAACAAGGCAAGCGCCUCAUUACUGUGGAAAGCGACUAAGCCACCACCUAAUGUCACUAGAUACAACUUAACAUCAUUCGCGAUGUCGCUAAAUGAAUUGACACCUGGUUUGCAGGUAUAUUACUGUCUGUUGCUUUGGAUUUAUUUAUGAACAUGGAUUUUGGGUUUCUGCUGUACUUAAAAUCUUGUUUUAGCAGCUGUCUGAUAUUUUGUGUAAUUUUGUUCAAUUGGCUUAAGGAAAAGUUGCCUCCAACAGAUUCUAGGCUCCGACCAGAUCAACGGCACUUGGAGAACGGUGAAUAUGAGAAGGCAAAUGAAGAGAAACAACGAUUAGAGAGAAGACAAAGAAUGGUACACUGAGUAUCUCAACACUAAUUCGCUGGUCCAUAAACUCAUUAACCUUUUUAUGUUUUGACAACUGUAAAUUGCUUUUGAUUCUGCAGUCACGGCAAAUUCAGGAAAGCGGGUGGAGACCGAGAUGGUUCGAGCCACAAGGAGAGAGUGAAAGCUAUAAGUACACGGGCGGUUAUUGGGAAGCACGGGAUGAUAAAAGUUGGGAUGAUUGCCCUAACAUAUUUGGAGAGUUCACCGAGGAGGUUGUAGAUUGUGCAUAAGCCGAGGUAUUCUGGUAUAUCAAAAGUUGUGAUGUUCGUCAAGUGGUUGAUACCCUCAAGAAACUAUAGCAUCUUGAUCACUCGAUCGAUCCGUGAAUCAGCUCUAGAUUACGGAUACAUCUGGGAUCUAACAUUGUUAUCUUUCAGGGGUAAGGAGGAAUUUGAGCCGUUCCGCUCCCUAGGGAUUUUGUCUCGACAAUGGACAGAGCUUUCUUUCGGUUUGAGUUCUCUGUUUAUCUAAACUCCGGAGAUAGAAAGAGGAUAUAUUAUUUUUCAGUUCUUUUGUAAUAAUGGUUUUGCUAUAGCUUCAAGAGGGUCCUAAAAAGAGAGUUUAUAGAGCUUCAAUGUAAAGGUCUCUGAGAGAAAUGUAGUGUGGUUCCAACAUUUGGACAAAUAUUCGUUGUAAUCUAUUUUGUACAAACAAAGGAAGCAAUUGAAAUUUGAGUUUAUGCACUUGUUGGUCAUUUAUUUAUCUGUAUCGCCCACGUCUCAAUCAAAGACCACCUAACCGCACCACUCUCCAUAGAUCUUACGUCCAAGAUGAUUAGAAUCUCUCGCCCCUCCACUGUGAGAAAAUGUUUUUCAAAGUGACUUAAAAUUGUGUUCUACAUAAGAAUCAAUGACCUCUUUUAAUAUAUAGAGGAUUUGGAUGUGCACUGUGUUAUAGAAAGCACCAUUUUCAGAAAAUGUUUUAAUAGUCUGAUGUAUUAAAUGACAAAAUAUAGAAACUCAAAUAUGGACUAUUAGAAUGGAAGUAAUGAUUCCUACCAAAAAAAAAGAAUGGAAGUAAUGAUAAGUUGUUAAUAUCUAUAAACUUAUUUAUAUAAUAACAAGGAUACAUAUGACUUGAAAAGAAAUCCCAAAUAGCCAUAUAACCAUGUUCGGACUAGGUCGUGGUUUAAAAUAUAUGCUUGAAUUUUUUUUGAAUUUGGCUAGAUCGAACUUAAAUAUAUGCGAGUCUUACUGAUCUCGGAUUACACUGAGCCAGGCAUCCCGAUUAACAUGUCUAUGUACAGUAUACGUAUUAUAGGUUUAUAAAAUUUUCUUAAAUUUCUAUUUUUAGUGGUAUCAGAUGUCUAUAUAGUGUGCCUAAAGAUUUGUAAUUAUAAUUCACACUGUUAAUUAGAAAAACACUAGAGAUAGCUCCGGCCAACAAAUGACAAAUAGGAACCUUAGGGCCAAAGUUUCUUUUUGGGUCCCUAACUAAAACUUAUGUUUUUCUAUGGGGUUUUCAUCAAAUAUACGCUACAACUUUUGUUAUUUUGGGUCCUAAUUCACACUAAAUAUUUUUUUGGCCUUCUUUUAAAUAUUUUUAAAAACACUGAGCUUUUUGUAUAAGUUUAGCCCAUGCACCUCUACCCUAUCCACUUGGGUCGGACUAGUUAAAACUUAAACUAUAUUCGGUCAAAGGUCUCAUACUUUUUUGUUAUGUUUUUUUUUUAGUUAUAUAGCUAGGUUUCACCCUAAUUCACAAUAAUGUGUAUUAAGGAAUUCAUAUAUGCAAAUGUUUAAUAUGUAACUAUCAAAUCCUAUACCUCUAUUGUACCCUUCGCCAGUUCGCCUAUAUAUUGUGGUCUCAAAGAAAGUAACAUUAAUACAAUAAUGUUUUUACACAAAUCUCUUAUUAUCUUUGGCUCAACUCAAAGACGUGUUUGUUGUCGGCCAAGAUUAGAUAUUUUGUUCCUAUGGAAUAAGCAAUGGGCUAUCUCAAGCUUAGUAGCGUGGUCCAUAUCUAGUCGAUGUUAAUGGAUCUCAAGAUUAAUAGUUUUAUAUAUGAUGCAUUUUUAUUUUAUCAAGUAUUUAAUAGAUUUUAUUUAUUAUUUACAAAAAAAAAGUUUCUUAUAAAAUUAAAAAAGAAGUAUUACUUCGAUUGUAGAAGUGAUGCAUAACCAUUAACAAUGACCAUAUAAAGUGAUACAACAACAAUUUGUUAGAAUCAAUUACAACAAGUGACAUAAAUAUUUUUUUAUUAUUUUUUAUAAGCGUCACAAAAGUUAAUAUCAGUUGUGAUAAACUGAUACAAUUUAUUUCAUCGUUAUACGAACUGAUGUCACUAUUAAUAUCACAUAUUUUAACUGACACACAUUUACCAUCACUUUUGAAAAUAGACGCAAAUUAUUUACAUCAAUUAUUAAAACUGUUAGUAAAUAUUUACAUCGGUUAUUGUAGUCGUCGCAAUAUUUACAUCAUUUCUUAUAACUGACGUAUUGUAGUAUCAUUCGAUAUAAUUGAUGGAAAUGUUUCUAUCGGUUGCUAUAACCGAUGCAUUAAUUUGCAUCGCCACUUUUGAUAUCAAUUAUAUAAGUGAUGCUAACUCAAUUGUAUCAUUCGAUAACCGAUGUAAGUUUAGAAAAUAAGUGAUGCUAUCCACACGUUUUUCUGUAGUGAUGGUGUCGGCACCAUGACUCAUGUUAGUUCAUGCAUGUCGUUAUGUGAUUACAAUAGUUGGUGUAGCUAUCGCAACAUUUUCUUUGUCUGCAUGUGUGACGAUGUAAUGACGUAUUGUUGGCGUAGCUGAGAAAUAUUUUCCCUUUUUUGUAUUCAUCAUUAAUAUAGAUCGUCCUAUGUUAGAUGUUGACGAUCAUAUUUUCUAAAUAAAGGCCUUAUAUGUUUGGAGUUUUCGUAGGAAUUGAUGCUGUGUGGUCCAAAUAGAAGCAUAAAUCUUUAUACUACUGAAAUAUUGGUGGUUUCAAAUAAAGUCAAUCCGAUUAAUCCCAACUGCAGAUUUUCGUUUUUUUUUGGGGAAAGAAUUCGACGUUAAAUCCUCCGCACCAUUUGUUAAAAUUGCGUCGUUUGUCAAAAAUAAGAGAGAAAUAUGUUUGCAUGUUUUGGCAAACUGCAAACAGAUUACGAUAAUAGUUUUAGACGUUACGUGUGUACAUUACAUGUAUACUUUGAAAUAGAGGAAGAAAAUUUUGCAAUCUUUCUUACCAGUUUGCCAAAACAUGCAUGCAAAGUAUGUACUUCUCUAGAAUGAAAACGUAAGAAAUUUUCCUUCAAAAUAAAAUCUGUAGAAACAAAUGUGAAACUUAGGAACUAUCUUUGCUCCAUGAAGAACCUUAUCAUAACUUUACCAAGAAGAAACCUCACUAGUAUUGUAAAACAAGAUAAUACAAUGAGAAACCACACCUAUCGCCCAAUAGCCUGGCAGAGAGAGCUCACACCUUUCGCUAUUUUGGUUGUGUGGUUCUGCUUGGAGAAAGCUCAUGGAUUUGUGUUCGAAGUGCUGCUCUCACAUGACCUGGGAGCAUUAUGUGAUCGAGGGUAUUGAGAACUAUGCCGUUAACGGCUCAGUCUCGGGCCGCUUGUGAAAGGUUUCUAGUGCUAGACGUUUGCGAAGUUCGGCGUUUUACAAGUUGCUUUGUCGUCUUUUGUCUUUUGUCUUCUGUAACUCAAUUGGAAGAACUUCAAAAUCCAUGUUAGCUUAGUGUUAGCAUCGAGUCGAUGGACUGAAAGUGUGUUUAUAUGCUUCCAUGUUUUUAUCUUUUUUGCCAUGGACCAUUGCCUAGGUCUAUGAUCUUUGAUUGUAUUCCUAACAAUUUUUCAUUUUAUGAAAUAUUUACUUUCUUAGCAAAAAAAAAAGUAUUGUAAAACAAUCAUCAUGUAAAUAAAUCGUUAGUACACGUUUGUAGAGGUGUCGGACGGGCCGGUCCGCGUCCAUCUGGGCCGGCCCGCGAUGGGCAUUUAAGUUUGUGAGACCGCGACGGGCCGGCCCGCUAGGACAGCGGGCAUAAAUAUUAUGUCCAGGCCCACCCCGCUAAGCCCAACGGGUUAGCGGGCCGGCCCACGGGCUUAGUUUUAAUAUUUUAAAAAUAAUAAAAAAAAUAAAUUUAAUUUUUAAAAUUUAAAAUUAACAAAUUUUCAAUUUUAAAAAAAAACUUUUAGUAUUAAUUUUUUUAUAAAUCUUAUAAUUUCAUACAUUAGAUUUCGUUAUAUGUUCAUAUAUUUCACAUAUAUAUUUUCAUAAUUAUGUAAAAGUGUUUAUUUAUUUAUAUUAAUUAUUUAUUUUUAUUAAAUAUUUGUAGUCCGCGUACCGACCCGCAAAUCCGCGGACAAAACCCGCAAUCCGCCUGGGCUUAUCCGCGAAGCCCACUAUUUUAUGGACAUGAAAAAUGAUGUCUAAAUCCGCCCCGCCGUGGGCUACUUAGACAAAACCCGCGGGCUAUUGGUCUUGUUAACACCUCUACACGUUACGUUUGCACACUAAUUCUCAUGAUUUGACCCAAAAACUCAUUAAUUUUUGACUCUGCACUAAACAACCAAAAUUUAAAUUAGGAAAAAAAUCGAUCGAUUUCACAAACAAACAAUUGAAUCGGCAAUCCCAAAAAAACGUAGGCAUCUAAAUUAUUAACAUAACCCAAACAUGAAUGACGUUGUGAACGUACUCAUACAUUAGACAACUAUAUUAGAGUGAGAAACAUCAUUGUUCUUCCGGAAAAAGCUGGUUACACUUUCUUAAAGUCAAUAAAAACAUUUGUCCUCAAAAACAAAUAUCAUAUAUUUCAACGAUACUAGGACCAAAAAUAGUUAAAUCCGACAACAAAACAAGAUUAUUUCGAACUUCUUCAAAAGAAACAAAAAACAAGAAAAUUGUUAAAGAGGGCAUGUAAUUUGAUUGGGCAGCUAAUUAAUACUUUUCGUAUUUAGCAUAUCACACGAUUAAACGUCACGUUCAUUUUAAUUGUAGAUAUUUGAAAUAGUUAUCUUUCCAGCAAGGUCUUCGAAAUAUUUUUAAGAAGCAUAUUCUUUUAUAAUUUUCUACGUAUUUGACAUAUAUUGCUUUUUCAGAUAAAUAAAUAUAUAAAAUGAAAAAUUUAUGAAUAAUAUCCACAUUUAUAUAAUUUUAUAAAUACGUUUAAAUUAUAUAUUUGAAUUUAGCAAUUAAAAAUAGCUGUCAUGAUGAGUUUUUUUUUUAAAAAAGAAAAAACUAUAUCUUAAUUUUAGUAGAAAGUAAUAUAUGGUAGAUAAUUAAUAAUUAUCAAAGGAUUAAAACUUUUAAAAAAGUAAAUUAUUAUGCUCAUAAUUUGGUAAUGUUUUCCUCUUAACUUUUUUUUUGAAUAAAUGUAAAAUUUAUUGAAAAAAAACCGUGUUACAAUAUAUGCGUCCUUGAAUUAAUGUUUUCCUCUUUAACUAAUAUUAAUCAUUUCAUUACUUAGAGAUUCUAGAUUAUAUAUUCGUAGUGUUAACCAUCUUUGAUCUCUCUGACUCAUCUUUGCGACUAUAUUUGUAUUUAUUUUUGCAAGACUCCAAAAUCCCCAGUGUCCCCACAUUCAUCCAUUUGCUUCUGUCAUUGAGCUUAAUGUAACUCACAUUCACAUCAUCAUGACUCGCGAGUCAUACAACCCGAACGGAAACUUUCAAUUCGUAUGAAUAUUAUUAUUAUUAUUUUUUGGUAAAAUUUGUAUGAAUCUUAUAAACCCGUUAUAAAAAAAAAAAAACCAUUCGUUAAAGCUCUGAUCAUCCAAUUCUAAGUGUUCAAUGUUCAUACAAAGUUUGAUAUGCGGAUUUAUAACUUGGCUCGAUACAAAUGAGAAAACGGAAUUAUAUGAGAAAUUGAAAGAGAAAAAUAUUUUGUCAAUUUACGAGUUCAGGAUAUUCGAGUUGAGAUAUAUCUGUGUCUCGGCUAGAAGAUCUAGUAAUUCACUAUCUAAUUUACAACAUGAGUAAAUCUACAAGAUCUUGAACUCGAGAUGAUAAAGUUUCAAAACAGGGGAAGAAGAAGCAGAGUUACAUGCUUUUAUAUCAAAUUCUUAUGAUAUCAAACCCUCCAUCCGAAUAAGAGACUACCUCAAUACAGAAUUAACCAGUUUCCAAUAUCCCGGUUAUGCUAUAAAUCUCACAAAGAUCAAGAGUUGUUUUACUAGAAAUCAGCUCGAAGAAAAAAAUAGCAUUCUACAGCAAUGUGAAGAUUGUAAUAAUAAUCUAAAUGCAAGAAUUUGAAAAUGAGACGUUGGUUACGAAAUUUCUUUCACUAAAAUUUCGUUGAAACAAAAAUAGAUUGCAACAAAAGCAUACAAGCCUGGACGGCGGGGGACGACGUUUACAAAAAAAAAAAAAACUAUAAAAAUCUCACACAUUUGUUUUUUAUCUUUAACAAAUCAAGAUUCAUAUAACUCUAGAUUACAUGCAUUUAUUCAAACUGUAGUAAUUUUGAAGAGUAUAUUGUGUACGGGCAUCGCAUCGUAUGCAUAGCUGGUAUCGUUCAAGCACAUUGGAAACCGGACGGAACCUUUCUGUUACAAACGUUGAGAAGAACGCUGAGAGAUAUUGGAACGUUAAGGUUGAUGCCAAGAACGUUAGCCCUAAGAGCAGUGCAGAGACAAAUCGCAGCGUCGAGGUCAACCAAACCUUGGAUAAGCGAGCAACAUGGUUGAGCUGAUGGCUGACCCAACUGGAUGUUAAGUAGACUGCUUAGGACAUUUGCACAUACACCGAGCUUGAGAGCAUCUAUAGGGCAGUUUCCAGAUGAACCAGGGGUGCUUGGAGGUGUGACCGGCCUAGGAUUAGGACUUGGGACUGAUGGAGUUGGGACCGAAGGACGAACUGGAGGAGGACAUGGGACCGGCUUGGGUUUAGGACUUGGGACUGGCUUGGGUUUAGGACUUGGCUUGCAGUUGCAAUUAGUUGCAACGGUUAAGGUGAAAAAGAGGAUGUUGAGAGCAAAGAAAAGAGCAAGAGAGGCUGAGUUCUUUGAAGCCAUUCUUGUUUUCUCAAAGAUAUAUUCGGUGUUUUGAUGGUUAUUGAAUGAAUAUAAAUGAAGAGAAGGUGUAGGUAUUUAUAGGGGUUUAGGAGGAUGUCAAGAGGACCAACUUGAUUUCGUAUACUUAAUUAUUAAUUUAUAGAUAUUUGUAAUUAUUUGCGCUUAUCUAUAUAUAUAUAAAAAAUUUGACCAUUUUUUCCCUAUAUGCAUGUACCUACGUAGAACCAUGAAACUUUUUUUGGAAAAUCUUUUUUGUAAAGCAUUUUAUAUUUAAGAAAAUAUUUGAUUCAUUGCAUUCAUAUAAGUAUUAAUGUCAAUGCUGUUAUUAUCACCACCAUCAUGAGGUCGUGGAUGACCCCAGUGCUGCAGUGCAAAAGUUAUUUAGAUUUCUUUUGCAUUGGCUCGUAGCCAUUUUACUUGACGGCUUCUAUACGUCAGGUUGGGUAAUAAAUUUCCAGUGUAGUUAUAGUCUAUGUAUUUAUAUCAAGCUGAUCCCGGCCAUGGGAGACACACCCAAAUAUCUCGACACACACUCGAAAAAAUUGUUAUAUUUGAAUAUUUUUGAAUUUAAGAUACCCUAAUGCAUAAAAUAGGAAGACAUUAAAACCCUGCAUGAUUCGGGGUUUGUCUGAAUAUGGUAGUCGGUUAGGGGUGUGAAUCCGGAACCUCCAAAUUUUUUUCUCUAUGCACAAUGGACAAGGUUAAAACAAUUUGUACUAUUUUGUAUGCAAUUUGUUUAAUGAAACAAUAGAGAUGAAUUGCUAAAAAUUAAAGUUUUAGAGCCAAAAUUACUAAAAAUGUCAUCUGAAUAAUGUUGUAAUUCAUCUCAAUAAAAUUAAAGCCAAAAGAUACUUAAAUUGAAGUAAAAUAUGACAUUCGUUAGAAGAACAGAGCGAUCGAGCAAUUGACUAGGACAAUCUCAUGAAAAACAAAACUCAACACUUUCGAAUUUUUUUGUUAAUAUUUUGAACAUGCAUGGUUUACUCACUAGUUACGUUAGUUUCAUGAUAUAAUAAACUGAUAUUAUUUAAAAUCAAUCCAAAAUUAAUUAACUGGUUGUUUGAGAAAAUAUAUUCAUAUAUAAAAGAAUAGAGAAAUCUAAAAUUUUUUAAUUUUCCAGAGAAGGCUGGUUUCUCAAAAUCAAUAAAAAAUAUAUCUCCCAAAGUAACAUUUCAUCUUUGAUUCAUGUUAGAAUCUCCACCAAGUGAUUUCACCAAGAUACACACUGUUAACAGUUUUCGAUUUAUGAAUCCAAAAGGCCAAAACAACUUCAUAAUCAUAUACUGAUAUACAUAUGUCUUGCAUACCUUAAAUAAUUUAAUUAUCAUUAGUAUUUUAGUCUUUUCCGCUACUAGUUGCCCUUUGUAACUUCUUUCAAAAUUUUGAUAAUGAUAUAAAUACUUCUAUUUAAUACUAAAGAUAGAAUAAAAACUUCAUGAUCAUAUAUAUAGAAGAUUCUACAGGGAAAAGAGGCCGCGACGAUUUUUGGUAGGAGGCUGCUGGUGAUCAAACACGUCUCUGAGCUGAGCCAAAAAUAAAAAUAUGAAUCUAAAUUAUUGUAUUAAUGUUACUUACUGAGACCAAUAUACAUACACGAAGUGUACAAUAGAGAUAUAGGAUGCUGAUAGUUGUCGGCUAAGACUAGAUAUUUUAUAUUUCUAUUCGCCAUUAUCCAUUAUUAAGAAUUGUCUUAUAUAUGUUAGAUGUUGACGAUCAUAAUUUCUUAAUAAAGGCUUUAUAAUAUGUUUCGGGCUAAAUUUUCGUAGGAAUUGACGCUGUACGUGAGGUCCAAAUAUAAGCAGAAACAUUAGUGGUUCCAAAUAAAGUCAAACCGACGACGACUGAUUAAUCCCAAUCGAUCAUUUUCGUUUUUUUUGUAAGAAUUCGUUGAAUCCUCUUCACCAUAAAGAAAAAAACAUUUUGUUACGACGUUUGUCGAAAAGAAGAGAUAUGUUUGCAUGUUUUGUCAAACUGAAAACAAAUUACGAUUAUACCUUUAAAAGUUACAUAAUAGUGCAUGACGCUCGGGACGAAACUAAUAUAGCUAGUAAUAUUACAUGUUUUGGUUUCGGUCAUGGAAGGAUAACAGGCUUUGCUCCAGAACCUCCUAGUAUUUAAAAAAAAAAAAGAUAUACAUAAACUUGUUACAUUCAAGUCUGUCACUAUCGAUAGAUGUACGUAAAUAAACUUUGUGUAUUUCAAAGUUUAGCUUCAAAUUUAAUAUUUAGGGUUUAGAGUGUAGUUUUUAAGGUUUAGUUCGAUGUAGUGUGUAUUGAAGAUCAACUAUAACUACAUUGUUUUUUUUUAAUUUUAUUUUUUAUUUUUUUUGGACAAAGACUUGUUUUCAUUCAACUAAGAAAGAAACCAAGUACAAAGAUAAAAGGAUACUGAAAUCCCAAAGUUUAAAAUACAACAAAGAAGGGCAUUUCCCAAUGCCACACAAAGGUAAACAAACAGAUAGAUAAAGUACAUCAACAAUGGUUCCAUAAGAGCUUUGAGCCAAACUCUUGGAGGCGAUUUGGUACAUGUGAGCAGUGCCGGCCCGAUAAAUUUGGGUGCCUAAGCAAAAUUAAAGCCCAUAAAAAAAAAUUUCUUUUAAAUUAGAUUUUUACCAUUAAAAAGAAUGUUGUAGUUGUCUCUAAACACCCACAAUAUUUUUAAAAGGCCCUACAAAAAUUAUUGUAUAUAAGAAAACUUAACAAAUUUUUAAGUAAAAAGGCCCUUACAUUUUGAAGCCCAAAUCGGUGGUUUCAGUGGCUUGCCCUCUGCGCCGGCCCUGCAUGUGAGAUCAAAGAUUGUUGACAAUUGUUCCACGAACAAAUCAGUGGAUGAGAUAAUGGUCAGUAUCAAAAGAUGUAAUGACGUUGAAGAAGAAGCCAAAGACAUAGAUCUCGCCGGCACGAGAAGAACUACACGAAGUAUGGCUUUGGCAAGGAUUCGAACAAGGUUUCAGGAAAGGAUGUUGGUGCUAUGAUGCUUAAAGUUGAUUGCUAGGAUUGCCAUGAAGUGAUGGUUGACCGUAGGUAAACCAAGAUCGCAAUCAAAAAUCUGACAACUUGGAGUCGGGACACAAAAGCCAUAAAACUUUAAGGAUUGAGGUUCGCAUAACAUAGACAUAAGGGAAACUAAAGCCACGGUUCUCAUAUAGUUAAAGCAAAGCCAUAGAAACGACAGUGAAUUACUUCUCAGAUGGAGUCCUCGACCAUUGAGUUUGUAAUCACACAGCCAUCGACAAGGUUUUGGCAGAAAAUAAAUUGGGUCAGGCUUGGGGUUAUGAUAAUAAUGAAUGGACACACACCUUAUGGGCUUGGGAGGCUGAAGCCUUAAUGGGCCAAUUUCAGGUUUAGGGCCCACUUGGGGAAACCCUAAUCUCGCAUUGGGAGUUGACGGAUUUAGCUCAUGGCGGCUGGCCGAGAAAGGUUGCUGGUUUUGCACCGGAUUCAGCUUCAUCGAAAUCUUUACUGGCGGCGGUACAAGAAUAGCGUGGUCCGAUGUUGUGACGAGCAAACAAGAAGUCUUACUAGAACCAGAAUGAAGAGAGAUUACCUGAAGAAGAGAGUCGUCUUGAGCCAUCGAUGUCUCCCCUGAGCAUGGCACACCUGCUGGUCCAAGAGGGAUUGUUCCUACCAGCAACGAAGCCCAGGGGUGUGGAUGUUGGAUUCGCACACUCAAGUAUUUUUAUUAAGUAGGAAAGAUUAUUCUUGAGGGACAAAAAUAAAUAUGUAAAAGGCUUAUGAAUUGUUACAAAAAUUGCUAUAGUAUUUCUUGCUCGAAAGAACGAUCCCCAUACAUGGCCAUUGGCCUUCUUAUUUAUACAUAGAAAAACGACAUUUAAGUGGCUAAUUAAGUACAAUUAUUCUCUCUUAAAUGUGUCCGUUUGAAUUUGCUUUUAAUGCUUAACGUUUGAAUUCUGAUCUUCAUGGGCCUCGCCUUUUGGCCAAAAUGUCCUUGGACUGACUUAACCAUUACUUCGUCUCCGGCCUCGUGUCGAGGUGUAGUCACUUCGGAUUCUCCUUACGGUGAUAACCACUUCGACUGUUCUUUUGACUUGUGGGUAUAAUUGCUUUAUCCUUUAUGGGCCGUUAUCCUGACUACGUGGCAAUCUUUGGUUGGUCCUGGACCUCUGGUGCGGGAUCCGACACCAACAAUUAGCCCCCCAAGUUCUUCGAAGUGCCAUUCCAAUUCGGAGGACUUUAAAUGCUUAAAUGACCAAAAAUUGCGCUCGAGAAUCUUUCUGAUUUCCCGCCGAAAAUCUCAUCACUCCUUUAAUUUCGGUACUAGCCAUUUUUACCCGAGUGACAUCUGUCAUCAUUAUGACCGUAUAUUAAUUAAUUACUAUUAAAACGGGAAAAACCUUCUCACUUCCCACACAACUUCCGAGGCGGUUCCAUCAUUUAGCUUGUGUAACGUAACUUUUUUUUCAUCAUCAUUUUCUACUUUUACAUUUGCACUUUAUUCGAAACUUCUCUCUUCUUUUCCUUCGCCAAAUUUCUCUUCGUCGGAUCUCGAACCUUUCAUUUUCCCCAAUGACUUCUGAUUCUGAAAGGCCCGAAUCUCCGUCAUUCGACGAUAGGCGCUCUAGUAAUGACGAAUGCACUCGCCCUAAUGAUAUUGCCGGUCCGCACUAUAGAUCCACUUGUACUCUUCAAUCCCUCGAGCGGUUGAGAGAGCUUUGCCGAAUUCCGCCAGAAAUUAUGGCGGAAGCACAAAUAGCUGCCCCCACAGAAUCCCCAGAGAACCAUCGCGAUGGUUACUUCUGUGUGUACGAGAUUUAUUUCAAGGGUUGCGGAUUAACCUUCCCACUUCCCGAAGCCCUGGUUCGGUACUUGGCGGUUCUCGAGAUCGCUCUUCCUCAAUUAACCCCCAAUCUUCUCCGAACCAUACUCGGAAUUAUAACAGUAGCGGCGGAAGCCGGAUACAUUAUAGGGGUCCCCGAGCUGAAUGAGCUUCUAAGCGUGAGAAGUUCAUCGAAGAAGACAGGGUAUUUCUCGGCAUACCCUAAUGCUAACAGGAACGUCAUUUCACAUCUUCCAAACAAGGAUGAAAAUUGGCAUCACCCUUGGUUCCUGAUUAAGAAAACCCCUGCUUCGAUUGGAAGUCUAUCAGAUCUACUCCCAUCGAAGUGGUCCGCGAAACCUGGUAGAAAUUAGGUCGCAUACAUUCCUCCAAUUUUAUUAUUCCUAUUGAUUAAACUUGUUAUUUUCACUUUGCAGCUUUUGUCGCUCCGACUUUACCAACUGAAGAAUUCAUUGGCUUCUUCAAAAUAAUCCUCGAAGAGGAAACCCUUUGGAAUUCUUUCACUCUCGAACGGUUCAUAGAAGCCAAUCGAAAACUCAGGAUGAGCCCUCCCAAUCAACUUCAUCGUCUUCCGCCUCUUCCCUCGACCCAGGGAAUGUCAGCUCGGGCUCUCACUGGCCAGCGAAAAAUGAUUUCCAAGCCGAUGGCUGAGGCUUGUGACGAGAACAAGGCGUUCCUUGCGACCGCCAUUGACAAAAAAGAUUAUAGCAAAACCUUAUUGGUUGACGACGGUAGCACCGAAGGAGCCAGAUCCGUCGCCGUUUUCAGAUUGACACCUCGACGUGAACGUCACGAUGACCGUCCUCCCCGGAGGCUCCAAUCUCCUAACCGCGACUAUCCUCGUUCUUCCUGAGAUGACUUUAGCAACGAACCGCUUAAGGAUUUAAUUCGCAAAAAGAGGGAUAGGUCAUCCCGCAGUGGUUCUUCUCCGUGAAGAGAGAAGUCAAGGGCCCGAACUGACCGUUCUCCUCGAUCGUCCCCUCCUACUGAACCAAUGGGUCCUCCUCGUCCUGUUGAUAUGUCAUCUUCUUCUCAACGUAGUGGUGAGAAGACGAACCUGGGUGCAGCUUCUCAGAAGGAAAGUUCUGAGUCUCGAGAUGACUCUCCGAAGACAAAGCCUGCUCUUGUUCCUCAGAUCAAAUCGCUCUCAGGUAUGACGAUAUACAUGUAUUCUUUUCUUUUCGUCUUGUACUUAUUUUGAAUUUCUAAGACCUUUCCUCUUUUGCUUUCGUAGCCAUGGAGAAAGAGGGUAACGUUUUUCGGUGCUUCAAAACCCGAUCAGGUGCGAUCCUGCCAGAAUUCAACAAGUGGCGCUCUGCAAUUCGUGAACGAUACCUACUUCAUGCUCAUCAUUCAUCUCGGGUUAGUUUCGCUUCAUUUUUCUGACUUCACUGUCAUUCUUCGAACUGAUCCGUCAUUCCGGGUUUAUGUGUAAUAUCAGGCGAACGACGAGCUCAAUGACAUAAUUGAACAUUACGAAGGGUUGGUCAUUGGUCGGGAGAAGGAGAUAAACACGUGGAAGAGCAAGUUUUCUAAUCUCGAGGCUGAACUCCGUUCUUCUACCGACUCCAAGCAUGAUUUGGAGGACAAGGUUGAUGGUCUAUCAUCCGAGCUUGCGAAGAUAAAGGGGGAGCUGCAAGACCAGUAUGACCGGAAUUACAAGCUCCAGGAUGAACUUUUUGGUGUUCAGGGUAGACUUCAUGAGUCUGAAUCAUUCGCCGAUACCCUGAACAACCAACUUACCGAGCUUCACGCGAAGUACCAUGCGAUCGCCAAGUUGCGUGAUUCCGAGUUAGCAAGGUCAGCAUCGAAGGCCAGAAAGGAGGUUAAGGGACGCGGGAUGGAGUUGAUCCAAGGGGCCAUCCGCUUCAUGCAGACCGAGAAAGCUAGGUCAGAUUUGGAAUCAGACAUCAAGGAGCACGAGAGCAACCUGAUUCUGUUGGAUCAAAUCCAUGAUACAGAUUUCUCCGAGGAGCUAGAAAGGACCGAACUGUCGGCUAAUCUUUCAGAAAAGCGGAGUCGUUUGGCAGCUCUUCCUACUUUGACCUUCAAUCCGCAGGACUUCGAGGAAUUCUUCACUGAAUCGUCUCCUAUAAGUGAAUCAGGUCUAGACUGGGCAGGUAACGCUUGGCUCCUGACACUUACUACCUUUUUCUCACCUUAUGUUUUGUUUUUUUUUAAAAAACAAUUGACUGGAACUGUCCUUCCCAGGCUCAAGUGAGACGGAAGAUGUCUUCCCACCCGAAGUUCCUGCGGCACCGGCGGUCACCCCGGAGGAUGGUUGUACUGUGGAGGGCGGACCAGGAGCCCCAUCUGACCAAGCACCAACCAAAGAGGAGAAUGAAACUUUGACUGCCGAGCCGGAGUCCGAGGUGGCUGUUACUCCGUAGUGGCUGCGUCCACUUUAAAUUGGGAAUUGUCCCAUUUAUUUUAAAACUUAAUUUCGAACUUGUUUUUGCCUAAGGAGGCUUUAUUAUUUCUUUUGAACGAGAGAUUUGCCUGAGGAGGCUUUUAAACCUUUCUAGGUUUUGACCCCAAGGGGGUUUGGUUAAAAUUAUGUGCGGGUUUGCAAAGUCCGCUUUUAACCCUUUGUGGCCUUGUGGUUAUGCUUUCGAGAUUUUUAAGCUGAUCAGACCUUUCUCUUAAGAAUGCGAGAACUGAGCUCGGCUUAAAGCGAGUUCCCCAUUUCGGGUUUAGUCAACUCGAUAAAUUUAUUGGGCUUGGGCCUUAGAAACUUUUGUAGUUAAUGCGACGGUUGCUCUUUCCCUUCUUAUUUCUUGAAAGUAGGAAAAGCGGCUCGUCUUUAAUGUAAUAAUUGCCUUUUCUCGAUUUUCCAAAAAUGGUUUAAUCCACUAAGGCACGCCACCAUUAUUGAAUUUUCAUUCCCAAGGCAAACCUUAACCCUAUUAUAAAUAGGAGUUUGUCCAGCUUUGAUCUUUCCUCAAGAAACUUCAUAACACCAUAUUAAUGGAAAACGAAAACAUAGCCCCCAUUGAUCCCGGCAGCCCACUCUUCUUGUCCGGUGACAGCUUUGAACCGGCCGGCGUUCUUUUCCCUCACGCCGUCUUUCACUUUCCUUCAAAGGAGAAGAAAGAGGCUUGCGAAUUUAUUGACAAGGUUAAUAUCUGUCGUCUUUGACUAAAAACUGUUUGUCUCAUCUUAUUCAUUCAUCUUUAUGCUAGGUCGCCGACAAACACCGUCGCUUGUGCGAAGAGAGACAGCGGCUAGGCCUCAAAAGGCAAACACUCGAGGCUCGCAUCGCUCGGGUGGAGAGGAAGAUACGGGCUUUGGAAAGUGACCCCUUUCAAUGGGAAUCGCGGAACUUUGAUUAUGUCGCUAAGAUCCCGAAGAUGCUCCGGAUGUAUCUCCAUGCUAAAAGAGUUCCGGGUCCCGUGAAUGCUCCAGUCCAUACCGUUCCAUCCGAUAGCGAGGAAGAAGACGAAGAGGAGGCUAGUACCAGUCGGAAACGCGUUCGGGAUCGUCCCGAAGUGGAUGCCAAGAACAAGGCGUCCACUUCGAAAACUAAACCGGCGAUGAAGGAGCCUGUUCCUGAGCCUCUUCCAUAAAUGUUCUCUAACUUCUUCACUUACUUUGAACUCGUAAUGGGCUUCGGCCCCUUUUUAUUUAUGGAAAUAUUUGCAAUUUUCCUUACUCUUCAAAUAUUCUCGGAGAUGCGUCUUUUAAUGCAGGAUCGGUUUAAGGGCAUAAAUCUUUCCGCGAAUCAUUCCAUUCUUAGGAUAGAAUCCGCAGCUUACCAAGAAUAUGACAUUCCUAUAAAUUAUAGUCUCAACUUCUCUUUUCUCCUCACCACUCUUUUUCAUUUUAGCAGGUAUGGAGUUUAACCUUCGAUGUUCAGAAUCUAUGUCCAACUUCUCCAGGAUUAGAAUGAUAAACGAAGAUGCUCCAAAUGAGCCAAAUAGGCGGCCUCUUCCACCUCGCGGCAUCUUCAGAUCCCAGAUUCGAGCUCCAUGCGCUUUGAUCAGGGAUCUCUCGAUCAGAGACCAAGGAACAGCGAUGGCAUUCAUAGAUGCACUUGCGCUUCAACAUCGGAAGCUUACGUUGAAAAAAAGGAGACUCCGGAAGAGGAUUAACCGGAUGCAACGCAGGCUUACUACGGUAUCAAGAGAUCUUCACGUCCUUGAAUCUCACCCUGAAGAAUGGAUCGAGCUUGGAAUCUCUGACUUUGCUCGAAUUCCGGACUGCAUGAAGCCAAUCCUCGACCUUGCUGGUCAAGGAGUUGAAGUGUUCUGCUCGUCAACAAGAUCUCCAUAACCCAAAGUGUACGAUGAGGGACAUUCCAUUUUUGUUUUUGAAUAAACGCUCUAUUUCCAAUCUCUUGUAUGUUCGCAUAGCCGAACCUUUAUUUGCUUCACUUGUUCGCUCAGUCGAACCUUUUCCUUUAAUAAAGAAAUAAAACAAAAAAUUUUAUUAAUAGCUGAACUCGUUUCCGAGCUGCCUACGUACCCAUUUCGGGAUCAAGCCACAUCGUAGUUCAUGUACAUAAAAAUGCAUGUAGCUUUAAACAUAAAACUUCUUUAGGUUGAUCACAUUCCAAGGUCGCUUGACUGGCCUGUCUUCUAAGUCUUUCAAUCUAUAAACACCGUUCCGAACCACUUCAGUAAUAAUGUAAGGUCCUUCCCAAUUAAUACCAAGUUUACCGGCACCUUCUUCUUUUUUAUUGUCAAAGACGCGCCUUAACACAUAAUCUCCCACGAAGAACGGCCUACUUUUGACUUUAGAGCUAGGAAGCAUGGAAGCGCCGUCCAACCUCUGAUUCUCGCUUUGGAACCAGAAGCGGGUGCGGAAGCGACCGGAAUCGUGAUGGAAGCGCGGUUCCAGAAAAUUGAAGAUUGGAAGCUUCUGGGAAGCGUUCGAUUCGGACUUGGAAGCGUGGUUUUUUUAUCAACGGAAGCGCAGCCUUCCCACAGAAACCCACCCGUCGUUUAUCCUCACAAACUAAUCCAGAGAGUAGUGAAUCAAGAAGAAGUACGUACCUCCGGUGAACAGAUCUGACGUGGAGAUCACAAGAGAGUAGAGAGAAGACGCAAAGCUCAAAACUUUCUGUUAUAGACUCGUAAAAGGGAAGUGAAUGAAGAAGAAGAUACAGAGCCAACAUGAAAGACCCUUUUACCCUUCUAGUUGUGACUAAUUACUGAUACCCACAACUUGUGCUUCUCACGUGUCAAUGGAGAGAGGUUGUCUUGAAACCUCUGAUUGCUUGAGAGUCUUCAUGACACCAAAACCUACACUCUUUUCAAGUUGUCUUCGGUGGUUUCAGUUUUAGAUCUAAUCGGCGACUCUUCUCUCAAGUCAGUCUCCGACAAAUUUAUUGAAAGGAAUCUGACUACCACAAGCCAUAUUUGGGCUUUAAUUUUUUUAUUCUUUUAAGUCUAAUUUUGUUUAAAUGGCCCGUUUUUAUUUGCGUUUUUAUUCUUUUAUUAAGACAUCCAAAAUAUUUUAUUGUUAACAAUGCAUUUCUUACUUUUGAUGACUAUAUUUAUUAUUCUACAUGUUAUGUAUUUCGUUUGGUUUAAAAUUUUCUCAAUUAUCAUGCAUAUCCAAUGGUUAGUGUAGAGUAAAUUAAAUAUUUAAUAAAUCUAUAUAUAUAUAUAUAUGUAUAUAUUUACGCUUCUAACACGUACCCGCUUCCUAACUUUUUUAAAAAACUCGUUUCCCCGCUUCCAAACGCUUCCGCUUCCGAUUCCAUGCAGCUUAGCUUUAGAGUUGUAAUAUCGGGCUGCUGCCUGCUGGUAGUUCUGAAUCCGAAUCAAAGCUUGAUCACGCCUUUCAUUUAUGGUAUCUAGUGAAUCAUUAAGCAUUGCUGAAUUUUCUUCCUCAUUUAAUGGUGCUUCUGUUCGGCGAAGUCCGGGCACGUUGAGUUCAGCUGGUUGAGUUCAGCUGGUACUACUGCCUCCAUGCCAUAAACCAAAGAGAAUGGAGUUUCUCCGGUAGGUCGCCUAGGGGUUGUACGAUAGGCCCAUAGGACGGGUUGGAGUUCUUCAUACCAUCCUCCCUUUAGAUGAUUCAAACGUUUCUUGAGAUUGCUCAGUAUCGUCUUGUUCGCGGCUUCAGAUUGACCAUUUCUUUGCGGAUAUCGUGGAGUAGAGUAACUAACUUUGAUUCCCCAGUCUGCACAAAAGGCAUCAAACUCUUGUGAAAUGAAUUGUGGCCUGUUAUCGGUGACUAUUUUAUACGGAACUCCAUGUCGACAUAUAAUAUUCUUCCAAAUGAAAGUCUUCACCGCCGAAUCCUUGAUGCCAACAUAUGCCUCAGCUUCAAUCCAUUUCGAAAAGUAGUCCGUCAAGACCAAAAGGUAUUGUACACCUCGAGUUGAUCUGUGCAAUAGUCCAAUGAUGUCCAUUGACCAUCUCAUAAACGGGUACGGGGCGGAGAUGGAAGAGAAUAACUCCGAAGGUUGAUGGAUCAAUGGUGCAUGGAGUUGGCAGCGCUUACAUCUUUGGGCAAAUUUAACACAAUCCGUGAUCAUAGUGGGCCAAUAGUAUCCCAUUCUUUUAACUUUAAAAGCCAUAGCUCUUCCUGAUGAAUGACUCCCACAUAAUCCUUCAUGCACUUCGCUCAUGACGAUUUCGACUUCGGGCCCAAAAAUGCAUAAUAGGUAAGGGUCGCUGACACCUCGUUUAUAUAAUGCAUCCUUUGAUAGACAAAAUUUCGCGCUAACGACUUUCAUUUUCCUGGCCUGCCACUUAUUCUUUGGGAGCUCGCCUGUCAUGAUGUAGUGCUUUAUUGGCUCCCUCCAGUCAGCCCCCCAGUCUUUAGCCGAAAUUUGGUCAACCUUGUAAAAUACUCGUGGUUCUGGUUCGGGAUGUUCGUUUGGUUCAAGAACAUCCUCCUCGAUUAACGGCUCUAUUUCUAAUAUCGUUUCUGGAAUCACAUCUUCUGCUAAGACAACGGGUUCCUUGUUAGAUGUGUUUGAUCCCUUUGACUUCCUCCGUUUGUUGGGUGGUGGUUCGAUCUCUGGUUUGCCAUGGUCACGUGCCGCUGCUCGAGACCUUGUAACGACGAGGGUUUCUUUGUUGUCUUGAAUGCUUCAUUCUGAAAUGCAUUCCACUGGAAUAACUCUUUUCAACUCAGGAUCUGAUGUUGACGCUAAUGCGGCAAUUGCGUCCGCAGUUGUAUUCUCCCCCCGAGGUAUGCAGAUUAAUUUGAAUUUCGAGAAAUUUUUAGAUAGAUCCUUCACCACUUUGAGGUAUGCUUCCAUUCUUGAGUCCUUGGCUUCAUAGUCUCCAUUAAACUGGUUAACUACUAAUUGCGAAUCACAAUAAGCCACUAUUUCCUUAGCUCCAACUCCUUGUGCCAAUCGAAGUCCGGCAAUCAGGGCUUCGUAUUCUGCCUCGUUGUUGGAGGCAUUGAAUAACAAUCAGAAUGACUGUUCUAGAAUUUCUGAUGUUGGAGACUCCAACUUGAUUCCCACUCCGGAUCCUUGUUUUGUUGAAGACCCAUCUACAUGUAAUUUCCAAGUUUGGUUCUCCGGUUGCUCUAUCGUUCCAGUAUUGUAGCUCGGUCAAGAAGUCUGCUAAAACCUGAGCCUUCAUACUGAUCCGGCUUUUGAAUUCUAUAUCGUACUCGCUUAAUUCCACCGCCCAUUUCGCCAAACGUCCGGACUGACUUGGACUAUGAAGUAUUGUUCGGAGUGGUUGGUUGGUUAAUACUUCAACCGGAUGGAAUUGAAAAUAUGGGCGCAGCUUCCGAGCCGAGAUCACCACCGCGAGUGCGAGUUUUUCCAUCAUUGUGUAUCUGGUUUUCGGAUCCGUCAUUGACUUACUUACGUAGUAAAUUGGCUUCUGUUCCCCGCGGUCUUCCCGAACCAAGACUCCACUAACCGCAUCGUUUGAAACCGACACGUACAAAUAAAGUUUUUCAUCCACUUCUGGCUUGGACAGUAUAUGAGGAGUGGUUAAGUAAGCCUUAAGCUGCCCAAAAGCUUCUUCAUACUUCUCAUCCCAUAGGAAUCCUUUGUUUCCUUUUAGAAUUUGGUAGAAAGGUAACGACUUAUCUGUUGAUCUCGAGAUAAAACGAUUCAAAGCCGCAAUCCGCCCAGUCAACCGUUGUACUUCCUUGAAGUUUCUUGGAGAUGGCAUGUUUAGAAAGACGUUAAUUUGGUUUGGAUUGGCUUCAAUCCCUCUUUCUGUCACAAUAUAGCCAAGAAAUCCUCCGGAUGGGACUCCGAAUGCACUUCGCCGGGUUCAGCUUCAUUUGAUAUUUAUUGAGAAUAUCAAAACAUUCUUCUAAAUGCUUAACGUGAUCUUCUUUCUUUAACGAUUUAACCAACAUAUCAUCUAUGUAGACUUCCAUUGUUUUCCCGAGAUGAUGGUGGAACAUUUUGUUAACCAACCGUUGAUAAGUUGCCCCUGCAUUUUUCAAACCGAAAGGCAUUACCUUAUAACAAUAGAUACAUCUAUCAGUGAUAAAUGACGUUUUUUCCUGGUCUUCGGGGUUCAUCAUUAUUUGAUUAUAACCCGAGAAUGCGUCCAUGAAUGUUAACAGCUCAUUCCAAGCGGUGGAUUCUACAAGUCGAUCUAUAUGCGGGAGCGGGAAACUGUCUUUGGGACAUGCUUUGUUGAGGUCUGUGAAAUCGAUGCAAACCCUAUCUUUCCCAUUCUUCUUCUUGACAACGACAGUGUUUGCUACCCACUCCGGGUAUUGCACUUCUCUUAUGGACCCUAUCUUCAAAAGUUUAUCCACUUCGUCAUUUACUAUUUUUGCUCGCUCUACUCCAAGCUUUCUUCUUUUUUGUUUCACCGGUUUGAAGCUCGGAUCCACGUUUAGUUCAUGACAAAUUAUACUUGGAUUUAUGCCAGGCAUGUCCGCCGCUGACCACGCAAACGAUGUUUUGUUUUUCCUCAAGAGUUCGAUCAAAGCUUCUUUUAGUUGGCCAGUCAAAGUUGCCCCAAUUCGAAUUUUCCGGUCCGGUUUGUCUUCUUCCAACACCACUUCGAUUACUACAUCAUCUUUUUUCUGCCCGCUAAGAAAUUUUGUUCUUAGUCCCUCUUUUGCGGACUUCGUUAAUUGCUAUUGAAUCUUCAUACGGUGGCUAGCUAGAUAACACGUCUAUGAAGCUUCUUGAUCUCCCCGAAUUGUUUCCACUCCUCUUGAUUUGGAAAUUUGAUACAUUGAUGAUAUGUAGAGGGGACUGCUUUCAUUUGAUAAAUCCAGGGAGUCCCGAGGAUGAUGUUGUAAGCUGCGGGCUUAUCGAAGACAACGAAGUCCACGAUCUUUGAUACCUUUUUGGAAAGGAGACGGAGGCCCUACUAUGUCCGCCUGACUAAUUCCCAUUCUUUCUAAAGUACUUAAAAAGAUCAAAUCGACCGAACUGCCUAUAUCUAUAAGGAUCCUUGAUACUUCGAAGUUGGCAACGUCAAGGGUAAUGACUAGAGCAUCAUCAUGAGGUCUUUCGAGGUGCCGCGUUUCUUCUUCAUUAAACGAUAUUGAUGCACCUUGAAAAUCGACUUCUUCGCUCAAGCUUGCUUUGAGUAGGACAUUUCGUCUAUGUUUCUUGAUGGAACUUAUCGAAUCUCGACAAAAUUUGGAACCUCCUAGAAUAACAUUGAUCUUACCCUUAGAAUUCCUCGGUUCUUCCUCGUUGGUUAACCUUGGUCUUUUGGAAUUUUGAUCUUUGGAAUUUUCCUUUGCUUCGUGGUAUUCCUUCACAAAAUCUUUUAUAUCGAAUUUGGAAAGAUCUCCACUGGCCCAAAGCUCUGCGAGGUGCCUUUUAAGAACGCUACAAUCCUUGGUUAAAUGUCCGGUUACUUUAUGAAUGUCGCAAUAUAGACUUUCAUCAUGGACCCAAGUGUUUGAUCUUCCUUUCCCUUGGAAUUGCUUUCCGACGGUACUGUUGAAGGGUUGCAACCCAAAUUUCUUUGGUCCUUUAUUCUCCCUAGGUUCGAACUUCUUGGUAGGGACGGUGAUUGCCGGCUUUUCUUGCUUAUUUCUUUUGGCAAAAUUUUAUUUUUUGUCCUCUACCUCCAUCCAGUUGUUUGCGCGGAAGAGCGCAUCCUGAAUUGUGUCUGGUUUAUGAAGUAUUAAAUCUUCUUUAAACCUUGAAUCAUGUCGCAAUCCCUUUCGUAGGGCGGAUAAAGCCGAUUGUUGUGAGAUUCUUGGGAGUUUUGACAGCACUCCUUUGAAUUUGGUGAUGAAAACUCGAAGUGACUCAUUUGAUCCUUGUGAUAGGUUCCAAAGAUCGGCAUCCGAAACGCUUUUAUCCAUAAGGAUGGAAUAUUGCUUUAAGAACACAGCUGAUAGCUCGUCAAAAUUGCUGAUCGAACCCGGCUCUAAUUGGGUGAACCACAUUAGAGCUUGGCCGCAUAGAUUUUCUGAAAAGAGCUUACAGUAACCUGCAUCCUCGUCAGCUUCAUCCAAUUCGACUCUUCCAGCUGCGAUCAGAAAAGCUGCGAGAUAGCUCUUUGGAUCCUCCAAUCCGCUGUAAGGGUCCAACUUGAGCUUCCGGGAAUCUUUGAUUCUCAAACUCGCAAUUCGCGAGAUGAAAGGUGUUCGCCUAGCUUCUUCAAUGACUCGAUUGAUGUCUAGCUCCGAACUUGUAGCUUGAUGGAACUUUGACUUCAUUUCUUUUAGUUCCUGGCUAACCUUCCUCAUAGUCUCGAACUGGUCGAGGUUUUCCUGCUCGUAUUGAUCUGCAAGUUGAGCUUCAUCUUCGAGUUGUGCCUCUCCAUCCAAUGGCUGAACUAUAUUAUUAGUAGCUCCAGGAGUUGUUUGUCCGCUGGUUUUGUUUCGCGCAACGGAACUUGGCGAGUUGAAUAUCCUCCUUCGGAUUCCCACAGGAUUUCCUGCACUUAAAGAGCGAACACGAGUUUGUAUAGUAUUGACGUUUUGGCUAAGAGAUACCUGGGAUGUUUGCAACGUAUCGACGGCCUUUUCCACAUCCGAGAACUUUUGUGAUAUGUCCGACAUGGUUUGCUGCAUAGCUCUGAGGGUUUCGGCCAAUGAUGUCUCAACGGCGUCUCCUCCGUGCUGCUUAUCUCGGAAAUGUAGUAAAGAAAAAAUCUGACCACUCAAGAAUACUCUAUCCCCACAGACGGCGCCAAAAUGUGGAUGUCGGAUUUGCACACUCAAGUAUUUUUAUUAAGUAGGAAAGAUUACUCUUGAGGGACAAAAAUAAAUAUGUAAAAGGCUUAUGAAUUGUUACAAAAAUUGCUAUAGUAUUUCUUGCUCGAAAGAACGAUCCCCAUACAUGGCCAUUGGCCUUCUUAUUUAUACAUAGAAAAACGACAUUUAAGUGGCUAAUUAAGUAUAAUUAUUCUCUCUUAAAUGUGUCUGUUUUGAUCUUUGCUUUUAAUGCUUAACGUUUGAAUUUGAGUUGAUUCUGAUCUUCAUGGGCCUCGCCUUUUGGCCCAAAUGUCCUUGGACUGACUUAACCAUGACUUCGUCUCCGGCCUCGUGUCGAGGUGUAGUCACUUCGGAUUCUCUUUACGGUGAUAACCACUUCGACUGUUCUUUUGACUUGUGGGUAUAAUUGCUUUAUCCUUUAUGGGCCGUUAUCCUGACUACGUGGCAAUCUUUGGUUGGUCCUGGACCUCUGGUGCGGGAUCCGACACCAACAAGGGGGAGAGAUCUUCAUGGGUGAUAAACAUUUUGGCUCGAGAGGAUUUAACCUUAGUGGAUUCUAGAUCCAAAUUUUGUAGAUCACAAGAUUUUUGGUGCUUCUGUUUGGAUGUUGCGGACAUAAUCUGAGGGAGGGAGUUCACCGGAUUCACCCUCCUUCCUUUGAAUAUCAGUGAUGCGUAGCCGCCGUUUUGGGUUGAGAUCGAGAGGUUUCGAGAGAUUUGCAAAAAGAGAAAAUAAAAGGGGGAACAAAUUAAACAAAAGGAGACAAAGAGAUGAGAUCUAAAGUAAAGAAAUUUCAGGGAGGUGAAAUCCCGACGCCGGCGAGCAAGAGCUCCACCGGCGUCGAAAAGCUUGAGCAACUUGACCUCCUCGAUAGUCGUGUCUGAGAGAGUUCACGGGUUAGUACAAUUUUUUUUUUUUUAUAAGUAUACAAAUGUUAAUAAUGCUCUAUAUAUUUGUUUACAUAUAUACAAAUAUUAAUAACUCUCUAUACAUGUGUUUACAUAUUAAUAAUGUUUAAUGUACAUGUUUACAUCUAUACAAAUAUUAAUAUCGUUCUCUAUAUAUCUAUUUACAUGUAUACAUAGAUGAUAGAUCCAAUAAGUUAAUGCUAUAAUUAUAUUUAACGUUUUAUAUAUGUAUAUUUUUUUGCAUGACUAUUUAUUGGGUAUCUAUUCCAUUAGGUUAGUGGUUUAAAAUUUUAAAUACCCGCCUAAAAGUUUGCGUUAUAGAUUCAAAAUUAAGAGAUUCGAAGACAGUCCGUCAGUUUGCAUUUAAUACAAGUUCCCUCCUUUCUAUCGUCGAGUAAAUGUCACUUCUACAACAGAGCAUUUAAUAACUGUCAUUUCAUUUUUUUUUCUUCCCCAAAUGUCAAUGGCGCUAUCACACGCGCAUGACUCCGUAACCAACUGGUUUUAUUGUAAUUUUUUUGAAGUUGAGGGCCAUUAAUAACGUUUAAUUUUUGUUUGUCUCGAACAAAGUGACCUAUUACCGAUUAUCUAAUUAGAAGUCACAUUUUUACCUCUGCGCAAAUUCACUCUAAAGAAAAAACAUUGUCAUCACCUAUUAGUAACAAAAGUUUCAUGCUCACGUGUCGUUCGAAGAGAGAUUCUUAGCCAUUUAAAUAAUUGCUUAAACUUUAUAUAUUUACAAAUUUUGCCAUUAGUGUUAUAGUAUAUACAUAUUUUACACAAAUAAAAAAAAAGAAGUUUAAAUUAAAUAAAGCAUAUUAUGAACUAAUAAACUAUUCACAAAAAUUUAUAUGAUUCUUUGUUAUUUAAGUUAGAAAAUAUUUUAUCGUUUUCAAUCAUUGUACGGGUAAAACAAAUUUAAAUACGAAAAAUCGAUGAUUGGAAUGGUAUAAAAAAUUUAUUAGAUGUUUUUUAAAAUAAUUUAGAUAUUAGAUAAUAACAAUACGGGAAAAUAUCAUUUAGAUAAUCAGUUUACCAUUUUCGUUGGUUUAAAAUAUGAACUCUGGACCUGGUGAUUUAAAUCUUCAAUUUUAUGUGGAUCUGGUGUUUUAAAUCCUCAAUUUUAUGUUGAUUUUCAAUUUAAUCACGAAUUCUCGUUGACUAAGCCAAUUGAGGCACAUUGUUAACUGGCUAAAUGUCAUCGCAUAUUUUUUGAAGAGGAAGACGGAAACCCUGUUGGUGUAGAAGAAAAAUUAAUGGAUGGCUUCGAAGUGAUAGUUAUGCGAUGACAUCUUCUUAUUGAUAUGUUUAGCCGGUUAACGAUAUGUCAAUUGGCUUUGUCAACGAGAAUUCAUGAUUAAAAUGAAAAUCAACAUAAAAUUAGGAUUUAAAUACCAGAUCUAAAAUUCAUGCUUUAGACCAACGAAAAUGGUAAACUGAUGAUUUAAAUGACAUUUUUCCCGAUAAUAAUACCAAUCAUUUUGUAAAUAGAAGUACAAUUUAACAAUCAUAUCGGUAAACUAUCUAGUUAAUUAUGCUCAUAUUUUGUUACGUUUUUCACUUAACAUAUCUAAGUAAUAUUAAAUAACUCAUAAACUUAACUUUAUGUAACUCAAUUUUCAUAUUCUGCUAGAUUAUUUUAGUACUGUUAACCAUGCAUCUUUGACUCCUUCUUUGUAAAAUAUCUUUGCAAGAUUCCAAAUUUUCCAGUGUCCCACAUACAUCCAUUUGCGUCUGUCAUUGAGCUUAAUGUAACUCACAUUCACAUUAUCACGGGUCAUAAAAACCCGAACACGAACUUCUAUUGGUAUGAAUGUUAAAACUGAUGAUAACAAAAUAAAACAAAUAACAUUUUCUUUAAAUUCAUACUACGCAAUUCUAGGUAAUAUAUAACGUUCAUACAAAGUUUUUGAGAAUUUACUAAUUACCUAAUGCCCUGAUCGAGUUCAACCUGAGAAGCUAUAAUUUUGGCUCGUUAUGAAUGAGAAACUGAAAAGAAAAAAAAAAGUUGAUUUACGAGUUCAGGAUAUUCGAGUCGAGAUAUUUACGCGUCUCGGGCUCGCGGCUAGAAAAUCUAGUAAUUCACUAUCAAGAAUAUACAACAUGCGUAGCUCUACUCUAAAGUCGUGAACUCGUGAUGAUGGAGUUUCAAAACAGAGUUACAAGCUCUUAUAAUAUCAAACCCUUCAUCCGAAUAAGAGACUCUCUCUUAAACCUUGAUACCGAAUUAACCAGUCUCUAUUUUCAUGGUUAUGUUUUAAUGAGCUAAACCGAAUAAACCUGAGUUCUAAACGAAUCACUUCUUCAACAGUACCGCUCAUUCAUGGAUAAAAUAGAUUCUUAAAAAGUCGAACAACGCAUCAAAACAUUCGGUCAAGAAUUGAUUUCGGUUCGAACUUUUCGCUACAAAAACAUUCGAUCAAGGCCUCUUAGACAUGGGCGUCCAUAUUCUCUUCCAAGAUCUCUCAUUCAUAGGAAUAUAGGAUCAUGAUUUAUUGAAAGCACAUAAACAUCAUUGUAUAGAUAUGAUCAAUCAAACCACAUUUCUCCCGGUCAAACAAGAAGAAAACUUUGAUGUCAAUAACUGAGCUGUUCAUUCUCUUACUCAAAAGCUGACGAUAACACACACACAUAUAUAUAUAUAUAUAUAUAUAUAUAUAUAUAUCUUUAGUUGAGAAUGUCUACUCAUAACUUAGUGUUUUAAAUACAGUUUUAGGAUUAUUGAAAAUCAUGUUUUAAAUGAAAAAUUCAAACUAAGCUCGAAAUAUGUAAUAGUUAGGUGAAUAUCACAAUGAUCAAUAGUUUUUAGUAGAAAUGAACUAUUUAGUAAAUAAAAUUAGCAUUCUACAGCAUGAAAAUUUAAAUAUAAAGAUUUUAAUUAUAAUCUUAAUGCAAGAAUUUCGAAAUAAGACAUUGGGUACAAAAUCUCUUUUAUUAAACGGGGAACGUUGAAAAUAGAAAUAGAUUGCUACAAAGCAUACAUUUGAGAGGAAAAAAAAAAACUAUGAAAGUCUCACACAUUUAUUAUUUCACUUUAACAAAUUCAAAUUUAAACAAAAACUCUAGCUUACAUGCAUUUAUUCAAAUUGUAAUUGUUUUGAGGGGGAAACUGUGCAUCACAUCGUAUGCAUAGCUGUUGAUAUCGUUCAAGCACAUUGGAAACCAGACGGAAGCUUUCUGUUACAAACGUUGAGAAGAACGCUGAGAGAUAUUGGAACGUUAAGGUUGAUGCCGAGAACGUUAGCCCUCAGAGCAGUGCAGAGACAAACCGCAGCGUCGACGUCAACCAAACCUUGGAUGAGCGAGCAACAUGGUUGAGCUG